UACGUAGGUGGCAAGCGUUGUCCGGAUUUAUUGGGUUUAAAGGGUGCGUAGGCGGCUUUGUAAGUCAGUGGUGAAAUAUGGCAGCUCAACUGUCAGGGUGCCAUUGAUACUGCAGAGCUUGAGUACAGAUGAGGUAGGCGGAAUUGACGGUGUAGCGGUGAAAUGCUUAGAUAUGACACAGAACACCGAUUGCGAAGGCAGCUCGCUAAACUAAUAUUGACGCUGAGGCACGAAAGCGUGGGGAUCAAACAGG
rnacentral:rRNA from 1 species